UCCCACGUGAUAUUAAGAAAAUUCUGAUUGGUCCAUCAAGAAGGACGGUAGCUAUUGUCGMMGGAGCCGGCAACAAUCUGCUCGCUACCAUUCACCGUCUUUCUAAGGGGAUUAUUUGAAGAGAGUUGUGAAUAGCACUUUAUUUAGUUGUUAAACCCUGAUGAUUGUAAAGAUGGUACCAAUGCAUUUCAAGUCAAUUUUAUUAGUCACAGUUCUCUUUUCUGCUCUUCACAUCAAUGAGGCACAGUUUAAUGGCAUGAUAAUAGAUUGUAAACCAAGAAAAGUCCCACAUCUUGUUCAAAGAAACAGCUGCACUUCAAAGGAAAUAUUCAUCGAGAUUUGUGAAGGAACAUGUAGGUCUCUAACUGCGAUACUCAUGAAUAAACCACUUCAUAAUGUUUUA